GACGAACGCUGGCGGCAUGCCUAAUACAUGCAAGUUGAACGAUGAUAUUCUCUGCUUGCAGAGAAUUGAAGAGUAGCGAACGGGUGAGUAACACGUGGGGAACCUGCCCAUGAGAGGGGGAUAACAUUCGGAAACGGAUGCUAAUACCGCAUAAUGCUUUGGACCGCCUGGUCCAGAGACGAAAGACGGCUUUUGCUGUCACUCAUGGAUGGCCCCGCGCCGUAUUAGCUAGUUGGUGAGGUAAUGGCUCACCAAAGCUGUGAUACGUAGCCGACCUGAGAGGGUGAUCGGCCACACUGGGACUGAGACACGGCCCAGACUCCUACGGGAGGCAGCAGUAGGGAAUCUUCCACAAUGGGCGAAAGCCUGAUGGAGCAACGCCGCGUGAAUGAAGAAGGUCUUCGGAUCGUAAAGUUCUGUUAUUAGAGAAGAACAAGUCAAGGAGUAACUGUCUUGACUUUGACGGUACCUAACCAGAAAGUCACGGCUAACUACGUG
rnacentral:rRNA from 1 species